AAAGAUAUAGCAUAUUCUUCUGAAUAUACUUUAUUAACCCAUUCCGAGUACCUUACCCGUUGCUUCCGCGAGGCUGUCCUCACGGCCCUCUGAAAGAUUUAUCUUGGGGAGUCCGUGCGGAAGGUAUACAAUAAACUCUUGCAUACCAUGUCAUCUGUCUGAAUCUGUUUAAAACAAUAUUA
rnacentral:misc_RNA from 1 species